UCUUCCGAAGUAUCCAUCUGCGGUUCCUGGCCCUUGCCGGCCACACCCAACCUCGUUCCCGCCGGCGCAGCUCCGUCUCCUCACCCUCGGGUCUCGGCUCAUUUCCUUGCUACCGCUGCAUCACCUGCCCUCCAAUCGCAGAUUUCACCUAAACCUGGCAACGGGACUGCCGACCGGCUUGGAGGACGACGGGCCCCGGUCUCGCGCGGUUCCGGUUCGCCUUCGGCUGGGCCAUGCCGUCGAUUUACCGGCCAUGGGAACCGCUGCUCGUCCACAUCAUAAGGGGCCGCUGCUGGCCAUCCCCGACAGGAGCCGCGUGCAAGGUCGCCGCUGCUCGCGAGCUCUGACGCGCCGCCGGCGUCUUCGCCGGGUCGCCCGAUGGUAUGUAGGCCCUGUAUGCGGCCGUGAGCACUGCAUAUGAAAGCUGGGCGGGGCACAUCCUCGACCCGGAGAAGCUUGCCCCAAUCCCCAGCUCUGACGCCUUUGCGGAGUCUUCGCCGGCGUCUUUUCAGGGCCGUCCGAGCGGCACUUCCACGCUCCGCAUCUGAAGCUGGACAUCCACAUCGUUCGCCCCCAAACCCCACCGCAGACGACGUUGUUCAGCACGACUUCAUCGACAUCAAGGCCAAAAUUUGACCGCCGUUCCCCUUUGCCGGCGUCUUCACGAGGUCGCCGGAAGGCAGGAAGGCCAUCGAUGCGGCCGGAGAGGGGCCCAACCACAGCCGCCGUUCAGCAUGGUCAAAAUUUCCCCUUUGUGGAGUCUUCGCCGGUGUCUUUUCAGGGCCGUCUAUUUGCUUGCUGGUGUUUGAUUCUGAUUAUAGGAUAGUAGUAGAUGAUAAUGGAACUAUUACUACAUUUGACAUGCUUCUUUGCCAUCUGCUAAUUGUAGGACUGCCUGCUGAAAGUCAUCUCAUAUUUAUUUGCUCUGCUCUAGACUAUGGUGGGUAGGAGGUCUCACUGUUUUCCUUUUGGUGUUUGUAUGAGGUCAAGGCCUAGGUAGCUUAGGAUGGUGGUACAACCCUGAGGCGGCGAUGACAGCGGGGAUGGACAGCGGCGGGGAUCAGAGUUCAGGAAUGACUACCUCCAUCCAGUCGGACGACGCCGGGGACAAGAACGGCUACUACAACCCAUUUUCAUGGCGUCGAAAUGCAUUUGAAGGACAUGAUCAGCCCACAAGUGGGGUAUUGGAGGCGGUGUCGUUUCUGUGCUGGCCAUACCUGCGAUUCUCUCCCACUAGGUGAUAGCUUAUGAACCGUGGCCAGCAUAAGGGGCUCGAUCCGGAGGGAGGCACGAAGGAUGGCCUAGUUGUCCGCCUGCCCCAGCUACUUCUGCUAGCAGUCCGGCCGGAGCUGCUGUUGGGCGACCACCCAUUUGAUCUUCUGGUCCUUCAAGCUACCUACUCAUACCGCUGGCCACCACUCGGAUUUGCUGCUGCAAGUCAGUGGGGGUUGAGGUCAGUCAAGUGAGCUUCUAAGCGUGCACGAGUGUAGUCGCCUGGCAAGAUGUUUGAUUUCAUCCAUCUCUACAAUGGGCAUCGAAAGGUACCUCCUUGGGCGCGGUUGAAUUCAUUUCUUCAUGGCUUUUUUGUCAGGUUGCCGAUGGGGAUCUUGCACCAUAUGUCUGAUGAGAAUUCCACAGCAGUGGUUGCGGUGCUCUGCUGAUCCAGCAAACAGUCUAGCCGGGCCAUCGGUCGAGCUGCUCACAUACAAAUUGCCUCUCGGGGCUCAUUUGGACAAUAAUGAUUAUGGUAUUUCAAGGAUACUUGUAAGGAUGAUGGAUGCUUUGAAAAUAGUGGAUCUAAAAAGGAGAUGAUUCAGAUACUUCAUUGAGAUGUGUCUCCCCUUAGGUCCAUGAUGUAUUUGUCCAUGGCCUUCAUGGUGGCCCAUUCAACUCAUGGUGAAUAGCUGAUGAAAAGUCAUCAACUACCAAAGGUGGUCUGGUGGAAACCAUCGACAAAGAUGCUAAGUCACUUGUUGGCCAAGAGAAUGGCUUGGCUUUCAUCAGAUUUUCCUCGAGCUCCUUUCUUGAUGGUCAAAUACAAGACAACUUUGACACAGUGUUUUGGAGCCAUCUUACCCCUUUAGGAGGUGAGUUAUAUGCUGUUGAGGAAGAUGGUUGCUACUCCAAUCGGUAGGCGGCAUAUUGUAUUUGUGACUCAUAGCAUCGGAUGACUGGUGCAUCAAGCGUAGCUGAAAUAUUAUGAAAAGUUCCUGAACAAUAUAAUUGGACUAGUAUGGGUUAUGUGCUUCGUCAAACUCCUGCAUUUUGUUAGGAAAUGUUCUCAUAGACUUACACUGCAUGCUUUCACUGCCACAACACCAAGUUAUUUGUGCAAAUUUGAUCUAUAGAAAAGUUACAUGCGCUAAUUGGCUUCUUAGCAGAGCGAUGUCACACCAAUUGUUGAAGCUUAUGGUGGUUCCUCAUUUCGAGUGGAGGAUAGUGCCAAUUGAGUCUAAAUUCCCAGGAUAUGGGGAGCUCGUUUGUCUGAUGGGUCUGAAGAAGACCUCUCAACCUCGCCGCCGCUGUCCUGCUGCCCAUAUGUGGAUGACCAAGACUUACCGGCGAGUACGGCGUGGAGAUAUGACAUAUACAACGACAAAUAAGUUUUGGAGCUUUGCCCUGAACACCUGAGAAGCAGUGAAGAGGCUGCAUGUUGAUGGUUGUGUGAUCUAGUCGUGCAAGGACUUAUGUUGAACCUGGUUGGUUGUGCAACAUGUGCUUGUGUUGACGUAUGUAGUGACUAGUGAGCAUUCAGCUACAAUACUUUGAGCUGAGGCUUGUUUUCUUAUGUUUUGAAUGGUAACUAGUGAGUUGAAAGAGAUAUGUAAUAUUAGCGUCGUGACAGUUGGCUUGUGAAUAUUCUUGUGGCGCUUGAAAUUUGAGACUGAUUUUUUUAAGCUGGUUAUCUUGUUUCAACCAGUUAGUUGAGAAUUUGAGACUCAAAUCUUGUUCCAGUUUUAGUCAUGUAUCUAUGUUGUGAACUAAAUGAUCUGGGGCAAAUAAUAAUAUUCGAAACCUUUUGCUACA